GAUUGAAUGGCUCAGUGAGGCUUUCGGACUGGCCCCAGGAGGUCGGCAACGACCACCCAGGGCCGGAAAGUUAUCCAAACUCGGUCAUUUAGAGGAAGUAAAAGUCGUAACAAGGUCUCCGUUGGUGAACCAGCGGAGGGAUCAUU
rnacentral:rRNA from 1 species